GAAUUUUCCACCCAUAUAUUCUUUUAUUUUCUGUCUUCUUUGCCUUCAAGUGUCAAUUGGCUCCUCUCAGUCACAGCUGUACAAAUCACAGGAUUUUUUUUUUUAUUGGCAUAAGACAUAUGCAUUAUUCAUCUAUUCAGUUUCAUCUGAAGGAAAUCCAAAAAAGACACAACUUUACCUUCCAAAGAAAUAUUUAAAGCUGCUUUUUCCCUGCGAGAAAGUAGGCAGAAAACUUCAUCCAUGAUCUACGUCCCCAUGUUCAACCCAGCUCUCCAUGAUGGGAGAAUUAAGUCCUUGACAGCAACCAUCAACCACUAAUGAAAAGAGCAAAAACAGAAGAUGUGAGAUCCAAGCUCUCUCUCAGAAGAUAAAAGUUACCUUAUAAAAGAGACAGUCGUGGUUUUAUAAGCAAAACAGGACUUUCUCAACAUCUCACAGCCAUCUCAUUAGCCAAUGCUCUCUCAUCACGAGUGAUCGUGGUUAUUUAGCGUCAGAAGCAAAAUAUGGGAGAUCUGUCUGCAGGCAAGUGGAGACAAGGCAUAAGAAAGGAAGAGCUAGGUGUGUGAGGAAAAUGCUGAAGUGGACAUACUUUAGUGCCUGAUUCAUAAGGACGAAAAGGCAUCGACUCGAGCAGAGAUGUAACCCCUUCUGGGUGGGAUGCCCAAUUCCCAGAGCGUACCACUGAACUCACAGCUGGGCAGCUCAAACGACAGAUGGAGAGAAUUUCUGGGAUCUCACAUUUCAGGAGUGGCAAGGAGGGAGGCAGCUGAUGCUGAAAAAGACCUUAAAUUCAAGUAAUAUGGUGCACCCAGAACACCCUUCAACAGCUUCAGGGAUUUAGCAUUGACCAUGAAAACAGAAUAUGUAGUCAGAAUCUUCAUGGGAAACGUGUUCAGAAGAAAGAACAGUGAGCCAGGAAGCUUGGAGGUUUGGGCUCUGGCCGCAGCUUUCCCAUGGACAUGUCAUAUAUGUCCCAGAAAGUCAUUUAGACUUUGUAGCACCCAGUUUCUUUUUCUGUUAAUCAUCGAGUGAAUUGGAUGACCUCUCCCCCCAAAUUCUAUAAUUCUAAAUGUCAUACGUAUGUUUGCAUGAAUCCACGAGUCACUAAAACCUAGCAGAUUUCAGAAAAUUAUUUAAUAAACAAAAUUUCUCAUCAGCAACUCAAGAGAUCUUGGAACUGACUCCCAAAACAUUGGAUAAUCAUGUUUAGGCAAAGUCUUCAAACCCAAAGAGAAGAUCUCGGGAUUGUUGAGCGUCUUUUCACCACCAUUCAUACCACGCAGAAGACAGGCUGUCAGUUCCGAGCUCACACUCACUCUGCCCUGAGGGCUCAGAGCAUUGGAACAUCUCUCAUUAAUUGGGGGGGUGGGGGUGGGGGGUGCUUAAUAUACAGAAUAUGGUAUUGCCUCUUUCACAAUGAAAUGAAAUCUAAAGGGCAUGUUUCAGUUCUAUAAUAUUUUCAGCAUCUCAAAAUGCUUUGAGAAUAGCUUCAGCUUUUUUUUUUUCUCAUUUCUGAUUUGAUCCAUGUAAUGACUUUGUAAAGCAGGCGAGGCCCAGGAAUUAUUGUGCUCAUUUACAAAGCAAUAUGCUGGGGGCAAAGAAAUAAAAUAACUUGGUUACCUCUUAGAGAUGGUGGUCCUCACUCUGGGUUCUCCUGACUUGCAAACAAAACCCAACCCCGUGUAGGAGUGACCUCCUCUCUGUAGUCCACCUGCCUGUAGAUCAGUCCCUUCAAAUGCG
ensembl:lncRNA